AUUGAACGCUGGCGGCAUGCCUUACACAUGCAAGUCGAACGGUAACAGGUCUUCGGAUGCUGACGAGUGGCGAACGGGUGAGUAAUACAUCGGAACGUGCCUAGUAGUGGGGGAUAACUACUCGAAAGAGUGGCUAAUACCGCCUGAGAUCUACGGAUGAAAGCAGGGGAUCGCAAGAACUUGUGCUACUAGAGCGGCCGAUGGCAGAUUAGGUAGUUGGUGGGAUAAAAGCUUACCAAGCCGACGAUCUGUAGCUGGUCUGAGAGGACGAUCAGCCACACUGGGACUGAGAAACGGCCCAGACUCCUACGGGAGGCAGCAGUGGGGAAUUUUGGACAAUGGGCGCAAGCCUGAUCCAGCAUGCCGCGUGCAGGAUGAAGGCCUUCGGGUUGUAAACUGCUUUUGUACGGAACGAAAAGCCCCGGGUUAAUACCCUGGGGUCAUGACGGUACCGUAAGAAUAAGCACCGGCUAACUACGUGCCAGCCGCCGCGGUAA
rnacentral:rRNA from 1 species